GAGUUUGAUCCUGGCUCAGAUUGAACGCUGGCGGCAUGCCUUACACAUGCAAGUCGAACGGCAGCACGGGAGCUUGCUCCUGGUGGCGAGUGGCGAACGGGUGAGUAAUGCAUCGGAACGUAUCCUGGAGUGGGGGAUAACGUAGCGAAAGUUACGCUAAUACCGCAAAUUCUGUGAGCAGGAAAGCGGGGGACCUUCGGGCCUCGCGCUCUUGGAGCGGCCGAUGUCGGAUUAGCUAGUUGGUGAGGUAAAGGCUCACCAAGGCGACGAUCCGUAGCAGGUCUGAGAGGAUGAUCUGCCACACUGGAACUGAGACACGGUCCAGACUCCUACGGGAGGCAGCAGUGGGGAAUUUUGGACAAUGGGGGCAACCCUAAUCCAGCCAUGCCGCGUGAGUGAAGAAGGCCU
rnacentral:rRNA from 1 species